UCAAUCCUAUAGACACCCUUUUAAUUCUUCAAUCACAAACGUAACUCAAUUUCACAAAACAGUCAAGAGUAAUCAAACCCACUUCAUUAAAAAAAUCCCGAUUCACCAUUACAACACUGACUUCAGCAACGAUUGUCUGAGUCUUCCCAAAACCCUAUGAAGAAAAAAAAACCCAAUUCUCUGUCUUCUUUCUCCCGCCCGAAGCAUGAAGCUCUUCUCCCCGAU
rnacentral:lncRNA from 1 species